ACCCUGGUGGCUCAGACAGUAAAGAAUCUGCUUGCAAUGCAGGAGACCCAGGUUCGAUUCCUGGGUUGGGAA
rnacentral:tRNA from 1 species